CACGUAGGGGGCAAGCGUUGUCCGGAUUUAUUGGGCGUAAAGAGCUCGUAGGUGGUUCGGUAAGUCAGGUGUGAAACCUCCAGGCUCAACCUGGAGACGCCACUUGAUACUGCUGUGACUGGAGUCCGGUAGGGGAGCGGGGAAUUCCUAGUGUAGCGGUGAAAUGCGCAGAUAUUAGGAGGAACACCGGUGGCGAAGGCGCCGCUCUGGGCCGAAACUGACGCUGAGGAGCGAAAGCAUGGGUAGCAAACAGG
rnacentral:rRNA from 1 species